AGUGAACGCUGGCGGUAGGCCUAACACAUGCAAGUCGAACGGCAGCACAGUAAGAGCUUGCUCUUACGGGUGGCGAGUGGCGGACGGGUGAGGAAUACAUCGGAAUCUACCUUUUCGUGGGGGAUAACGUAGGGAAACUUACGCUAAUACCGCAUACGACCUACGGGUGAAAGCAGGGGAUCUUCGGACCUUGCGCGAUUGAAUGAGCCGAUGUCGGAUUAGCUAGUUGGCGGGGUAAAGGCCCACCAAGGCGACGAUCCGUAGCUGGUCUGAGAGGAUGAUCAGCCACACUGGAACUGAGACACGGUCCAGACUCCUACGGGAGGCAGCAGUGGGGAAUAUUGGACAAUGGGCGAAAGCCUGACCCAGCCAUACCGCGUGGGUGAAGAAGGCCUUCGGGUUGUAAAGCCCUUUUGUUGGGAAAGAAAAGCAGCAGGUUAAUACCCGGCUGUUCUGACGGUACCCAAAGAAUAAGCACCGGCUAACUUCGUG
rnacentral:rRNA from 1 species